rnacentral:rRNA from 1 species
UAUUCCUACGGGGGGCAGCAGUGAGGGAUAUUGGGCAAUGGGGGAAACCCUGACCCAGCGACGCCGCGUGAGGGAAGACGGUCUUCGGAUUGUAAACCUCUGUCUUUGGGGACGAAAAAGGACGGUACCCAAGGAGGAAGCUCCGGCUAACUACGUGCCAGCAGCCGCGGUAAUACGUAGGGAGCGAGCGUUGUCCGGAUUUACUGGGUGUAAAGGGGGCGCAGACGGCAGCGCAAGCCAGGAGUGAAAGCCCGGGGCCCAACCCCGGGACUGCAUUGGGAACUACCGGGCUGGAGUGCCGGAGG